GAUGAAGAACGCAGCGAAAUGCGAUAAGUAAUGCGAAUUGCAGAAUUUCCGUGAGUCAUCGAAUCUUUGAACGCACAUUGCGCCCGCCAGUAUUCUGGCGGGCAUGCCUGUUCGAGCGUCAUUACAACCCUCAGGCCCCCGGGCCUGGCGUUGGGGAUCGGCGGAGCCCCCCGUGGGCACACGCCGUCCCCCAAAUACAGUGGCGGUCCCGCCGCAGCUUCCAUCGCGUAGUAGCUAACACCUCGCGACUGGAGAGCGGCGCGGCCACGCCGUAAAACACCCAACUCUUCUGAAGUUGACCUCGAAUCAGGUAGGAAUACCCGCUGAACUUAAGCAUAUCAAUAAGCGGAGGA
rnacentral:misc_RNA from 1 species